GACCGCUUCCUUCAAACCAUCCCUGACACUCCCCCUACUCCUGGAUACUGUCACGGAAUAGACGAGGGGACCCAAAUGCUGGACACAGGGAGACGGAGACGGAAUAAAGGAAAGGGGUUUAUUCCGUAGACAGGCGAGUAGUCAGACAAGCAGGGAUCAGGAACCAGCGGGGUAGUCAGACAGGCGGGGAUCAGGAACCGGCAGGAGAGUCAGACAGGCGAGGAUCAGGAACCAGAAGGAGAGUCAGACAGGCAGGGAUCAGGAACCGGCAGGAGAGUCAGACAGGCGAGGAUCAGGAACCAGAAGGAGAGUCAGACAGGCAGGGAUCAGGAACCGGCAGGAGAGUCAGGCAGGCAGGGGUUCGGCGACCGGAGAAUACUAGAAAGGGAAGGAGAGAGUUACUAUGGGGACAGGCUGCUGUAAUACUUGAGAAUGCUGGUAGGACCGAUACUAACUGUAAAGACGUAGCGAAGAACUGGCGCCGGCUGAUAGGAAAUCCCCGGCUGAUGUAGGGACGAUCAUCAAGGAUAAUUACGUCCAGGUGCGGGAGAAGGAGGCCCACCAGCGUCCCAUAGCCACUAGAUGGCGGCAUUGGACUGCGUAGCAGGACGCGACGUGACAGAUACACUGGGGCCAACAGAAAUUCUCUGGUGGAGUGGGCUAGCAGCAAAAGUCAACUAUAGCUGCUACCAACGGGAAAAUGGCGGUGGAGACACCUGAUGUCUUGGCCUAGGUGUUCUAACCUGAAACAAACCCUAGGUACCCUAGGUAGGUACUUACUGUUGCGCAGUGUGUCUGUGUUUCAAGUUCAAAGGUGGCCCCACGUUCAACGUACAUUAACCUUGGAUAGUCAAGCGCUGUGUUGUCCAUUAACCCUUAUAUAACCGCUAUGUCAGUGACACAAUUAGAACUAGGCAUUUUUUAUUCUACAAAUUCAUAUUAUAGCUGUGAGAAUUGUUAAGAAAAAUCCCCUUCAUAGUCGGAAAACCAAAUCAUAGGCUAGAUUCACCUGAAAUUAUUCAAAUGGGUGCUUACAACUUACCACAUUGAAUAAUAUUUUUAUAUUUAUUUUUGACUUGGCCCCAUGUUCGUAGGAGCGUGCUGGCACCACAUCUAUGGGGGUAAAAGGCAUGAUGAGACAUGAUAUUUUUUAGACAAUAUGCAGAAUCUUUUCACCUACGAAUUAACACGGUCGGUUAUUUUUUGCCAGCACGCCACCCUAGCCAUAUUAUGGGCAAU
rnacentral:lncRNA from 1 species